rnacentral:rRNA from 1 species
AGAGUUUGAUCCUGGCUCAGAGCGAACGCUGGCGGCGUACUUAACACAUGCAAGUCGUACGAGGAUCGUCGGGUUAGCAAUAAUUCGGCGGUUCGAGUGGCGCACGGGUGAGUAACACGUGGGUAACCCACCCUUGAGACCGGGAUACCCUCUCGAAAGGGAGGCUAAUACUGGAUACGUUCCCUGGGACGCAAGAUCUGGGGAGGAAAGGUGGCAAAAGCUGCCGCUCUUGGAGGGGCUCGCGGCCUAUCAGCUAGUUGGUGAGGUAACGGCUCACCAAGGCUAUGACGGGUAGCUGGUCUGAGAGGACGACCAGCCACACGGGAACUGAGACACGGUCCCGACUCCUACGGGAGGCAGCAGUGGGGAAUUUUCCGCAAUGGGCGAAAGCCUGACGGAGUGACGCCGCGUGGGGGACGAAGGCCUUCGGGUCGUAAACCCCUGUCAGAGGGAAAGAAGGGUGUCGGCGUGAAUAGCGCCGGCAUUUGACGGUACCUUCAGAGGAAGCCCCGGCCAACUCUGUGCCAGCAGCCGCGGUAAGACAGAGGGGGCAAGCGUUGCUCGGAAUCACUGGGCGUAAAGGGCGCGUAGGCGGGAUGGCAAGUCGGUCGUGAAAUCCUUCGGCUCAACCGAAGAACGUCGGCCGAUACUGCCGUUCUUGAGGGAUGCAGAGGAGAUUGGAAUUCCCGGUGUAGCGGUGAAAUGUGUAGAGAUCGGGAGGAACACCGGUGGCGAAGGCGGGUCUCUGGGCAUCUCCUGACGCUGAGGCGCGAAAGCGUGGGGAGCAAACGGGAUUAGAUACCCCAGUAGUCC